rnacentral:rRNA from 1 species
CUACGGGCCGCAGCAGUGAGGAAUAUUGGACAAUGGAGGCAACUCUGAUCCAGCCAUGCCGCGUGCAGGAAGACGGCCCUAUGGGUUGUAAACUGCUUUUAUACAGGAAGAAUGGUACCUACGUGUAGGUAUUUGACGGUACUGUACGAAUAAGGAUCGGCUAACUCCGUGCCAGCAGCCGCGGUAAUACGGAGGAUCCAAGCGUUAUCCGGAAUCAUUGGGUUUAAAGGGUCCGUAGGCGGUUUUUUAAGUCAGAGGUGAAAUCCUGCAGCUCAACUGUAGCAUUGCCUCUGAUACUGAAAGACUUGAGUUAUUGUGAAGUAGUUAGAAUGUGUAGUGUAGCGGUGAAAUGCAUAGAUAUUACACAGAAUACCGAUUGCGAAAGCAGAUUACUAAUAAUAUACUGACGCUCAGGGACGAAAGCGUGGGUAGCGAACAGGAUUAGAUACCCGUGUAGUC